UGAUCGAAUAUUGGCCAAAAUCAAUGAA
rnacentral:sRNA from 1 species